UUGUUGAUGUGACCGCGUGUCCACAACCCUGGGAUUCCCUCGCCCUCAGAUUCCAGAAUCCAAUUUCUUGGAUUUCAGUGUUUUUAAGGUGGGAGGUCUCGCUAUGCUUCCCAGGCUGGACUCAAAUUCCUGGGCUCAAGUGAUUCCCCCGCCUCAGCCUCCUGAGUAGCUGGGACUACAGAUAUGGCAUGUCAGUCUGGUGGUCUAGCCAGAGGAAGACUCCUGGAGCUGGUGAACUGUGCAUGGAUAUGCAGUCACGGGCAGCCCACCUCCUACUCCUCACCCUCCCUGUGCCUGUGAGGGUCUGCACUCACCCUGGUCUUGCUUUAUUGCCCAGGCUGGAGUACAGUGGCGCAAUCACGGCUCACUGCAGCCUCAACCUCUUGGGCCCGAGCAAUCUUCCCACCUUGGUCUCCUAAAGUGCUGGGAUAACAGGCAUGAGCCACCACAUCUGGCUGAGGCCCCACAUUUUCAUUUUGUGCUGAGACUUGUAAAUUAGGUAGCUGGUCCUGGCUGUAGCAGAUGGUAUAGAUUCUUUUUCUGGCUCUGUUUUUGUGACAUCUCAACUUACUGGGCUCUUAUUAAAGGUGAUUUAGGUGACUUA
rnacentral:lncRNA from 1 species